rnacentral:rRNA from 1 species
GUCCCAGACUCCUACGGGAGGCAGCAGUGAGGAAUAUUGGUCAAUGGCCGCAGGGCUGAACCAGCCAAGUCGCGUGAGGGAUGACGGUCCUAUGGAUUGUAAACCUCUUUUGUCAGGGAGCAAAGGGCGCCACGUGUGGCGCUUUGCGAGUACCUGAAGAAAAAGCAUCGGCUAACUCCGUGCCAGCAGCCGCGGUAAUACGGAGGAUGCGAGCGUUAUCCGGAUUUAUUGGGUUUAAAGGGUGCGCAGGCGGAAUGUCAAGUCAGCGGUAAAAUUUCGGGGCUCAACCCCGUCGUGCCGUUGAAACUGGUUUUCUAGAGUUGGAGAGAAGUAUGCGGAAUUCGUGGUGUAGCGGUGAAAUGCAUAGAUAUCACGAAGAACUCCGAUUGCGAAGGCAGCAUACCGGCUCCAUACUGACGCUGAGGCACGAAAGCGUGGGGAUCGAACAGGAUUAGAUACCCCGGUAC